rnacentral:rRNA from 1 species
CGGCACGGGUGAGUAACACGUAAGUAAUCUACCCUCGAUGGGGAAUAACAACCGGAAACGGUUGCUAAUACCGCAUAAUGCAGCGGCACCGCAAGGUGACAGUUGUUAAAGAUUUAUCGCUUGAGGAGGAGCUUGCGGCAGAUUAGCUAGUUGGUAAGGUAAUGGCUUACCAAGGCUACGAUCUGUAACCGGUCUAAGAGGACGGUCGGUCACACUGACACUGAAUAACGGGUCAG